rnacentral:rRNA from 1 species
CCUACGGGUGGCAGCAGUGAGGAAUAUUGGUCAAUGGACGAGAGUCUGAACCAGCCAAGUAGCGUGAAGGAUGACUGCCCUAUGGGUUGUAAACUUCUUUUAUAAAGGAAUAAAACGAGGCACGUGUGCCUUUUUGCAUGUACUUUAUGAAUAAGGAUCGGCUAACUCCGUGCCAGCAGCCGCGGUAAUACGGAGGAUCCGAGCGUUAUCCGGCUUUAUUGGGUUUAAAGGGAGCGUAGAUGGGUUGUUAAGUCAGUUGUGAAAGUUUGCGGCUCAACCCCGCUCCGCCGUUGAAACUGUGUCCCUUGAGUGCGCGAAGGGUAGGCGGAAUGCGUGGUGUAGCGGUGAAAUGCAUAGAUAUCACGCAGAACUCCGAUCGCGAAGGCAGCCUACCGGCGCGCAACUGACGCUCAUGCACGAAAGCGUGGGUAUCGAACAGGAUUAGAUACCCUUGUAGUC